rnacentral:rRNA from 1 species
CCUACGGGAGGCAGCAGUGAGGAAUAUUGGUCAAUGGACGAGAGUCUGAACCAGCCAAGUAGCGUGAAGGAUGACUGCCCUAUGGGUUGUAAACUUCUUUUAUAUGGGAAUAAAAUGUUCCACGUGUGGGAUUUUGUAUGUACCAUAUGAAUAAGGCUCGGCUAACUCCGUGCCAGCAGCCGCGGUAAUACGGAGGAUCCGAGCGUUAUCCGGAUUUAUUGGGGUUAAAGGGAGCGUAGGUGGAUUGUUAAGUCAGUUGUGAAAGUUUGCGGCGCAACCGUAAAAUUGCAGUUGAAACUGGCAGUCUUGAGUACAGUAGAGGUGGGCGGAAUUCGUGGUGUAGCGGUGAAAUGCUUAGAUAUCACGAAGAACUCCGAUUGCGAAGGCAGUUCACUGGACUGCAACUGACACUGAGGCUCGAAAGUGUGGGUAUCAAACAGGAUUAUAUACCCCAGUAGUC